rnacentral:rRNA from 1 species
GCCUACGGGGCGCAGCAGUGGGGGAUAUUGCACAAUGGGGGAAACCCUGAUGCAGCGACGCCGCGUGGGUGAAGAAGCGCCUCGGCGCGUAAAGCCCUGUCAGCAGGGGAGAAAAUGACGGUACCUGAAGAAGAAGCCCCGGCUAACUACGUGCCAGCAGCUGCGGUAAUACGUAGGGGGCAAGCGUUAUCCGGAUUUACUGGGUGUAAAGGGGGCGCAGACGGCGAUGCAAGCCAGGAGUGAAAGCCCGGGGCUCAACCCCGGGACUGCUCUUGGAACUGCGUGGCUAGAGUGCAGGAGGGGCG